AAGUUAUGCAAAUGAAGCUAGUUUUACCUUAACCGUUCAAGAAAAUAAAGUUAAUUGUACAAUGGAUUUGCUUUGUGCUAAAAAGAAUAUAUUUCACCAUAAAUGUGAUGUUGCAGAUGUAACUAAAGUUAAAAGAAUUUUGUGAAAAUUAGGUUCUCAAAUUCAUACCAUAGUUAAUAAUAAUAACAUUAAAAAUAGCUACACAAAACGUCAUUCAGAAGAUACUCAGAAACCUUCCUGGCAGUUAGUCAAUAAAAGAACAAAACACAAAAGUGCAGAAAAACCAAAAAGAAAUAAGAAGUUGUGUCCUAUUCCAGGGUGUGGGGCAAAGGUUGUUAACUUGCCAAGACAUAUAAAAUUACCUAAAAAAAGUGAUCAUCUUUUGUUGAAAAAAUCUGCUCCUAAAAUAGUAUCUAUUUUCGGACUUCGAAACUCCAAAAGUAACAAUGCUAAUAUACAUUAUCGUAAAAAAAUGAGAAUUUGUCCUGUUGAUGGAUGCUUUUCAGUUAUCUUAAAAUUGUCAGAUCACUUCAAAAAGUCUCAUUCGGAAUUAUUUAAUAAUACAGAGCUUUAUGGUAAAAUGCGAAAUAAAGCAACAAUUAUGAUUGGCUAUGAAGAAGAAAAAAUUGUAUCUAUUUUUAAAUCUAAUAAUAGAGAAUAAGAAGAUAGUUCUACCCAUUCAGAAAGUAAUUCUUCAGAAAGUAAUUGUAGUGGAUACAAAAAGUUCAUCUAUAAAACAGAUUCUUUGUAUUCCGAAUCGCUAUCAACAGAUAGCGAUUCAGAAUACAAUGUUGAAGCAGACAAAACAGAUGAGUCUAUAGAUGAUUUUGUAUUCGAAGAUGGAGAUGAAGGAUCAGUUGAUAAUGUUUUAAAUGCUUUUGAAAAUCAUUUAUUGGGUUUUGAAGGUGGGAAAAAGAAAAAAAAACCAGCUCGUCAAUGUAAAAAUCAAGUGAAAUCAAUUCUUAAUUGUGUUAAUCCUUCACUUUCAUCCUUUGAUUCUUUAUUUGAUAUUCACACUCUGCAAAACUCACGGCUGCCAUGGGCAUUAGCACCAGGUAAAGGUAAAAGCGGUAAAGGACAUUUACCAGGAACAUUAAGGUCAUAUCUUGGUUUGCUCAGCAAAUUUAUAGUUUUUGAUCAGACAAAAAACGGUUUCUUGGGCAAAAAAAAUAUCUAUACCGUGCACAAUUAAUUUAGAUACAAUGAAAGGGUUAUUAAAAGAUGUCAAAAAUUGGAGGUCAAUUUUUUGAUGAUGUCAAAAAUUGGAGGUCAAAUUU